GUCUACGGCCAUGCCACCCUGAACAUGCCUGAUCUCGUCUGAUCUCAGAAGCUAAGCAGGGUCGGGCCUGGUUAGUACUUGGAUGGGAGAGAAUAAAGACAAGUUUGGGAGCUACUUUCUGCCCUAAUCA
ensembl:rRNA 5S_rRNA 5S ribosomal RNA